CCGACUCGUUCCGGGUUCGAGUCCCGGGCAACCCAUUUCGCA
rnacentral:tRNA from 1 species